GGGCCCGCACAAGCGGUGGAGCAUGUGGUUUAAUUUGAUGCAACGCGAGGAACCUUACCAGGGCUUAAAUGUAACGGGACAGAUCUAGAGAUAGAUCCUUCUUCGGACUCAUUACAAGGUGCUGCAUGGUUGUCGUCAGCUCGUGCCGUGAGGUGUCAGGUUAAGUCCUAUAACGAGCGCAACCCCCAUCGUUAGUUGCCAACGAGUAAUGUCGGGAACUCUAACGAAACUGCCGGUGCAAACCGUGAGGAAGGUGGGGAUGACGUCAAAUCAUCACGGCCCUUACGUCCUGGCUACACACGUGCUACAAUGGUCGGUACAGAGAGCAGCCACUACGCGAGUAG
rnacentral:rRNA from 1 species